rnacentral:rRNA from 1 species
CGGACCGGCGCACGGGUGAGUAACGCGUAUGCAACUUACCUAUCAGGAGGGGAUAACCCGGCGAAAGUCGGACUAAUACCGCAUGAAGCAGGGGCCCCGCAUGGGGAUAUUUGCUAAAGAUUCAUCGCUGAUAGAUAGGCAUGCGUUCCAUUAGGCAGUUGGCGGGGUAACGGCCCACCAAACCGACGAUGGAUAGGGGUUCUGAGAGGAAGGUCCCCCACAUUGGUACUGAGACACGGUCCAA